rnacentral:lncRNA from 1 species
AGCAACAGCAGCUCCUGUGAACUUGACACACACACCAACGAGCAAUGAAUUCCGCGCCCGGGGCAUGGCCUGCAAUCAUCGACAAUGGCGGUCGCAGCGAGAUCUGGACUCAGCCGCAUCGCGACGCCCUGCGCGAUGGAUGAAUGGUCAUCGUGACGUAUAUCGUUCAUUGGAAAGUUUUCAUCCUUUGAUGGAAGUUGUUGAAGAGCACGAGAAGAGCUCAAUUAGGUCAUCAAUGGAAUAAGACUUCAUAGCCUUGUCACUUGUACACAUUUAUUUUAUUUUAUUUUUUCAUUAUUCUUUUCUUUACAUUUUCUUUUCUAAUUUUUCUUUUAGUCUUCAACAGUUUGAAUUUCUUAUUAUAUUUUUUUGUAUUUUUUGUUGGUUAAAUAUUUUGACCCAAAUUUAUGAUAUUUUGAAUGAAACCAUUUUCAUUUUUAUUCUUCUUUUUUUUAUUUUAUUUUUUUGUCAAAAAUCUCAACCAAGAUUAAUUCUUUUUUUCAAAAAUACUUAAAGACUACUUUUUUUUCAAUGUGAAUUCUAUUCGCAAAAAUAAUUUAUAAUUAUGUGCUUUAUGAUUGAUAAAUAACUAUAAAUUUUAUUUGAUAGGUCAAUUGUGCUUCUCAGCUUUUUGAUUUAAAGUAUACAAAAGUUGAAUGAAAACCUUUCUCAGUGAUUAAGCCAUAGCAUAUUUUGGCCUUCAGCAGUAAUUGGGUGAAAAAAUAAUUCUCUAGCUAAUCUGCUAUUUCAAAACUAUCACAAAAACCAUGUUUGAUCAUUGAUACGUGUUCAAAGCUAUUGAA